rnacentral:rRNA from 1 species
GAUGAACGCUGGCGGCGUGCCUAAUACAUGCAAGUCGAGCGAACGGACGAGAAGCUUGCUUCUCUGAUGUUAGCGGCGGACGGGUGAGUAACACGUGGAUAACCUACCUAUAAGACUGGGAUAACUUCGGGAAACCGGAGCUAAUACCGGAUAAUAUUUUGAACCGCAUGGUUCAAAAGUGAAAGACGGUCUUGCUGUCACUUAUAGAUGGAUCCGCGCUGCAUUAGCUAGUUGGUAAGGUAACGGCUUACCAAGGCAACGAUGCAUAGCCGACCUGUGAGGGUGAUCGGCCACACUGGAACUGAGCCACGGUCCAGACUCCUACGAGAGGCAGCAGUAGGGAAUCUUCCGCAAUGGGCGAAAGCCUGACGGAGCAACGCCGCGUGAGUGAUGAAGGUCUUCGGAGCGUAAAACUCUGUUAUUAGGGAAGAACAUAUGUGUAAGUAACUGUGCACAUCUUGACGGUACCUAAUCAGAAAGCCACGGCUAACUACGUG